AUUUCUUCACGGGAUCAAGGCUUUUGAAGUCAUCUUUGUGUUCCUUGUGAGCUUAGGAACACAUCUAUAGCGUUUUUAGAAUGUGAAGACUUCAUUUUCCCGACAAUCCGAGAACCCAGUUUUGGGUUACUGUUUAUGCAUUCGUGAUUGUGAAGUUUUUAGGAGAUUUUUUAAGCUGCUAGAAAGCCUUAAAACAUCUUCGUGAAGCUCGGAGAAGAAAAAAGAAGUGUUUUGGACGUCGGGAAGUAAGGUUUGACAAGUUUCAAAUUUUGGCCGAAUUAUCGAGGGUUCUCUGGCAAGAUUUCGUGGAUUUCAAGGCUUGAAAGUGUUUUCGGCGAGUGCAGCGGUGACCGGCGCCGGACUCCGACAAACCAAAGAAGAAGGAGGAGAAUAUUCCAUCAAAAUUGACGGAACAUUUUGACGCCGUCAGAUCAUGGUGAUAUAUUCAAAUACCCCAUUUGAGCUUUGUAUGAGAAGUGAGACUUAUCAUGAGGAUGAGCGCCAUCAAUUGAGGCUCGGGGGCUACGACCCUUCAACAUAUCAGUUUUAGAUAGAAGUGCUUGGUGGAUCACGAGGAUUUCGACGGGGGUUCUGACAUAAAAACAUUAAUGUAGGAUCACCCUUAGGUGUUGUAUAAUUAACACUUGUCCUGCUUGACUGCACUUAAACUAUUUAUCCUCUGGUUGUGUAAUUCACACUUAAUCUUG
rnacentral:sRNA from 1 species